rnacentral:rRNA from 1 species
GCAGUCGAGCGGGCGAGGUUGCUUCGGUAACUGAGCUAGCGGCGGACGGGUGAGUAAUGCUUAGGAAUCUGCCUAUUAGUGGGGGACAACAUUCCGAAAGGAAUGCUAAUACCGCAUACGCCCUACGGGGGAAAGCAGGGGAUCUUCGGACCUUGCGCUAAUAGAUGAGCCUAAGUCAGAUUAGCUAGUUGGUGGGGUAAAGGCCUACCAAGSCGAUCCGAUCUGUAGCGGGUCUGAGAGGGAUGAUCCGCCACACUGGGACUGAGACACGGCCCAGACUCCUACGGGAGGCAGCAGUGGGGAAUAUUGGACAAUGGGCGCAAGCCUGAUCCAGGCCAUGCCGCGUGUGUGAAGAAGGCCUUUUGGGUUGUUAAAGCACUUUAAGCGAGGAGGAGGCUACUUGGAUUAAUACUCUAGGAUAGUGGACGUUACUCGCAGAAUAAGCACCGGCUAACUCUGUGCCAGCAGCCGCGGUAAUACAGAGGGUGCGAGCGUUAAUCGGAUUUACUGGGCGUAAAGCGUGCGUAGGCGGCUUCUUAAGUCGGAUGUGAAAUCCCUGAGCUUAACUUAGGAAUUGCAUUCGAUACUGGGAAGCUAGAGUAUGGGAGAGGAUGGUAGAAUUCCAGGUGUAGCGGUGAAAUGCGUAGAGAUCUGGAGGAAUACCGAUGGCGAAGGCAGCCAUCUGGCCUAAUACUGACGCUGAGGUACGAAAGCAUGGGGAGCAAACAGGAUUAGAUACCCUGGUAGUCCAUGCCGUAAACGAUGUCUACUAGCCGUUGGGGCCUUUGAGGCUUUAGUGGCGCAGCUAACGCGAUAAGUAGACCGCCUGGGGAGUACGGUCGCAAGACUAAAACUCAAAUGAAUUGACGGGGGCCCGCACAAGCGGUGGAGCAUGUGGGUUUAAUUCGAUGCAACGCGAAGAACCCUUACCUGGUCUUGACAUAGUAAGAACUUUCCAGAGAUGGAUUGGUGCCUUCGGGAACUUACAUACAGGUGCUGCAUGGCUGUCGUCAGCUCGUGUCG